rnacentral:rRNA from 1 species
CCUACGGGAGGCAGCAGUGAGGAAUAUUGGUCAAUGGGCGGAAGCCUGAACCAGCCAAGUAGCGUGCAGGAUGACGGCCCUACGGGUUGUAAACUGCUUUUAUACGGGAAUAACGCGCCUUACGUGUAGGGCUUUGCAUGUACCGUAUGAAUAAGGACCGGCUAAUUCCGUGCCAGCAGCCGCGGUAAUACGGAAGGUCCGGGCGUUAUCCGGAUUUAUUGGGUAUAAAGGGAGCGUAGGCCCCAUGUCAAGCGUGCGGUGAAAUGUCCGGGCCCAACCCGGGCCUUGACGCGCGAACUGGCGUGCUUGAGUCCGCGGAAAGCAGGCGGAAUUCGUCGUGUAGCGGUGAAAUGCUUAGAUAUGACAAAGAACCCCGAUUGCGAAGGCAGGUUGCUGCAGCGGAACUGACGCUGAUGCUCGAAAGCGCGGGUAUCGAACAGGAUUAGAUACCCCUGUAGUC